GAGUAACACGUGGAGAACCUGCCCCCUCCCCCGGGAUAGCCGCCCGAAAGGACGGGUAAUACCGGAUACCCCGGGGUGCCGCAUGGCACCCCGGCUAAAGCCCCGACGGGAGGGGAUGGCUCCGCGGCCCAUCAGGUAGACGGCGGGGUGACGGCCCACCGUGCCGACAACGGGUAGCCGGGUUGAGAGACCGACCGGCCAGAUUGGGACUGAGACACGGCCCAGACUCCUACGGGAGGCAGCAGUGGGGAAUCUUGCGCAAUGGGGGGAACCCUGACGCAGCGACGCCGCGUGCGGGACGGAGGCCUUCGGGUCGUAAACCGCUUUCAGCAGGGAAGAGUCAAGACUGUACCUGCAGAAGAAGCCCCGGCUAACUACGUGCCAGCAGCCGCGGUAAUACGUAGGGGGCGAGCGUUAUCCGGAUUCAUUGGGCGUAAAGCGCGCGUAGGCGGCCCGGCAGGCCGGGGGUCGAAGCGGGGGGCUCAACCCCCCGAAGCCCCCGGAACCUCCGCGGCUUGGGUCCGGUAGGGGAGGGUGGAACACCCGGUGUAGCGGUGGAAUGCGCAGAUAUCGGGUGGAACACCGAUGGCGAAGGCGGCCCUCUGGGCCGAGACCGACGCUGAGGCGCGAAAGCUGGGGGAGCGAACAGGAUUAGAUACCCUGGUAGUCCCAGCCGUAAACGAUGGACGCUAGGUGUGGGGGGACGAUCCCCCCGUGCCGCA
rnacentral:rRNA from 1 species